rnacentral:lncRNA from 1 species
UUUGUUAGAGAAUUUUGGGCAUCCCCCAAAUUUCAAAAAAAUUGAGAAAGGGGUUAUAUUCACAGAUUCGGAGAUAGAGAGGUGUGAUGAUACGGUGGUCCCACAUGACCUUCAAACUUUAACUAUUAACAAGGAUGAUGAUUUCAAAUGUUUAAACAACAUUCCUUUGUUUCGUAAGGCGACUGACUGGAAGGAAUGUCGAAUUGGGGAGUGUGAAGGGAUGGAGUGUGUGGUUGACUUGUCAUUAUCGUCUUGUGACGCACUUGACAACAUUGAGGAGUUACGCCUAUUUUUGUUGCCAAACUUGCGUGAAGUUGUGAGAGUAGGAGUAGCGGUUGAAAUUGAAUCUACCUCUCAUGCUCCAACACCACCUGCCAUCUUUUCUUCUCUUAAACGAUUCCGUAUGAGUUUUUGUUCGAGGGUGAAGAAGUUGUUUCCAGUUGAGCUGUUGCAAGGCCUCCAAAACUUAGAGGAUAUUAAUGUUUUAGAUUGUGCUGAAAUGGAGGAAAUCAUAGCAUCAGAAGAAAAUCACGAAGGAGAAGGAACAACAUUAUUCCCAAAUUAAAAUCAUUAAAGUUGGCUACGUUACCAAAAUUGAAAAGCAUUUGCAGUGGUGGAGUUAUGGUUUCUUCAGAUUCUCUCCAAAGUCUUCAAAUAUGCUAUUGUCCAAAAUUAAAGAGGAUCCCUUUGUCUCUUCCCCUUGUUGAAAAUGGGAAACCAUCUCCUCCUCCUUCUCUAAAAGUAAUCACAGUAUGGCCGAUAGAAUGGUGGGAAUCAGUGGAAUGGGAUCAGCCUGAUGCUAGGGAUCUCCUUUCUCCCUUUGUUCGAUAUUCUUUCUUCUAGAAUGAGAUGGAGAAGAGGUGUUUGAUUAAAUGUGGCUGCAAGGCUCUUGCUUCUUAUUAAAAGCUGCAAACAUUGUGAGUUUUUUUUCAUCCACAUCCUCUUUUUUUUCUCUUAAUUUCUCAUUUGCUAAAUAAUUUCUCCUUUUUAAUAUCAAAAUAAAACUAAGUCUUUAACUUUUUAUUUUUUAAUACAAAAAUAAAUUCUCCAACUCAACACCCUUCAAUCAGCAUUUCUCCGCCAAUUGCUAUGUGACAUUUCCUACAUCCCCUCCUAUUACACCUUCCCACCCGUUUCCUUUAUUUUCAUUUUCACUCGCAUGUUUCAAAAAUUCUUUGAUUAUUAUGAAUUAAAAUGUUGAAAGAUAUAGCAAAAUGACUAAAAGGUUUUCAAUUUGCUGCAGGCUUGGAGAUUAUGGGAGGAAGGAAGGCACCCCUGUUGAACUUGGUGAUGAAUUCUUAGGACUAUCCUGCAACCUAUCAGAUGUGAGACGAUGCAUCCACAUUGGUCUUUUAUGUCUACAACAGCUCGCUAUGUCAUCUCAAUUGUCCCCCUGAAGCAUCUUCAUCUGGCAAGCCUGGAUCAUUCUCACUGAAUGAAAGAACCGCAUCGAUGUUGGAGGUUUGUUAGGGAGUUGUAUCCUCAUAUCAUUCCCUGAAAGAUGGAACUCAUGACACUGGUCCCAAGGGUGUAAGCACAAUAAGCCUUUACUGCCAAAGCAGAGAUAGAUUUAUCAUAUUUAAAAGAUUCAAAAGUGCCAGAUGCUACACAUUCUUGUGUGACUAAAACUAUGAAUCUCAAGGAAUGCAGGGCUAAAUGUCUACACAACUCUUCCUAUAUGGCAUACGCUAGUUCAGAUAACAGAGGAAGAGAUAGUGGUUGGGCUCUUUGGUUUGAUAAUCUGAUUGAUUACAGACAAUUUCAAUCAGAAGGGCAGGAUCUAUAUGUUAGAGUGUCUGCUUGAGAAUCAGGUAAAAGUCUACAUUUUCACUUGCUUCCAUUGCUGUUUUUGGUUUUUGUUCAUGUAUGCUUUUCUUUAUUACUUGUUUUUUUUUGUUUUUGAAAGGUAAGCCUUGGCUGAAGCUUGCUACAAUGAUUGCAACACCACUAUGCUAUGCUUUUAGGGCUGUACUAUCAGUUAUUACAUUUAGAGAAGCUGCAGAAAGCUGAAAGGUAACUUUGAUAUAUCUUUCACAAAUAUGCUCCUUUUGUUUUUUUUUUUUCUAAAUAAACAAAAAAAAAUUACUUUGUUAAUACUGAUGCUAGCAAAUCCACCUGCAGUUUCUUCAAAAGAGUUAAAUAGAUUCUUUGCUGGUUCAUUUCAAGGAAAAGUAGUCUUCAAUCCUUAUUGGUGUGAAAAAAAGAGUUUUUAAUGAAACAAAUGGAUGGGGAUACUUCGUUUUGUGUGAUCUCAAAAACAUCAGCUCAAUCAAAAUGCAUAUUUUAUGCUGAAUGCCAAGCCUAUGUUGACUACUAUUUCAGAGAAGCAGAAGACAAUAAGGAAAAUGAUCAAGAAAAUCAAGGCCAGGAUAAAGACGUGGAGCUUCCAAUAUUUGAGCUUGCUACCGUAGCUCGUGCUACUGAUAGCUUUUCUAUGGACAACAAGCUAGGGGAAGGUGGUUUUGGACCUGCUUUUUAGGUAAACGUUGCAUAAUAUUAUUCAAGUUACCUUAACUACUGAGAAUUUAUCCUUACUAUCAAAGCUCAUUCAAAAAUGUAGUUUUCCAGGUGACACUAGCAAAUAGACAAGAAACUGUUGUGAAGAGGCUUUCAAAGAGCUUAAAAAUGAAGGAAAAUUGAUUGCCGAACUUUAGCAUCAGAAUCUUGUGAGGCUUCUUGGGUGCUGCAUUCAUGGAGAGGAAAGAUGGCCGGUUUAUGAGUACAUGCUUAACAGAAGCCUUGACUAAUUCAUUUUUGGUCUGAAUUUUCAAAACCUUUCAAUUUAAUUGGGUUUAUUGCUUCUCCUAUCAUAAAUAUGGCCUACAUUUUACACAUGGUAUAAUUUGCUGCUUUCAAAUAUCAAAAAUACUUACCAAUUGCCAGAUCAAACAAUAAGUAAAGGACUGAAUUGGUCCAAGUGUUUUCUGCGGCAUUGCUAGGGGACUACUUUAUCUUCAUCAAGAUUCCAGAUGAAGGAUUACUUAUAGAGAUCUCAAAGCUAGCAACGUUCUGCUCGAUAGUGAAAUGAAUCCAAAAUUUUCCGAUUUUGGCCUGGCUACAACUUUUGGAGGAGACCAAACCAAAGGGAACACUGAAAGAAUGGUUGGAACUUAGUGUCACUUUAUUUUCAUAAUGUCUACAAAUGCUUAAAUAUUUAAAGCUUUUGAUGAUGUUCUGCUGUGGUUAUGUGGCACCAGAAUAUGCUAUUUAUGGACUGUUUUCAGUAAAAUCAUAUGUCUUGAGCUUUGGUAUUAUUUUUCUUUAAUCUUGAAUUUAAAGAAUAUAAAAAAAAAUACAAUAGAGGGGUUCUAUUAUCCAAGUCAUGGUGGAAACCAUUCUUUGUUACUAGUCUUGAGCUAAAAGAUGACAAAAGCUUUUCAAUUUGUUGCAGGCAUGGAGAUUAUGGGAGGAACCCAGGCAGGCCUGUCGAACUUGUUGAUGAUUUCAUUAGGACUGUCUUACAAUUUAUCACAUGUGAGACGAUGCAUCCACAUUGCUCUUUUAUGUCUACAACAACUUGAUGAGAACAGAUCAACUAUGUCAUUUGUGAUUCUGAUGUUGGGAAGUUAAAUUGAAUUGCCUCAACCCAAACAACAUGGGAGUUUUUUUUUUUGGUUUAUGAACUGUUCCCCUGAAACAGAUUCCACAUAUUUGUGGUUCAAACUGGAAUUGGGAUGAUACCUAGCUUCCACUUUUUAAAAGAUUCAAGCCUGCUCAUCAAACUGGUCUCAAGGGUGUAAGCACAAGAAGCCAUUAAAUUGCUUCUGAUUGAUUGUAGACAAUGUCAAUCAGAAGGGCAAAAUCUAUAUGUUAAAAACUUUCUGCUCAGUAUCAGGUAUGAGUCUACAUUUUCUCUGGUUUCGCUGCAUUUUUCUUUUGUUCAUAUAUGCUUUUCUUUAUCAAAUCUCAUCAUACAGAAUUGAAAGAUAAGCCUAGGAUGAAGCUCGAUGCAUUGAUUGCAACACCACUGUGCUGUGCUUUAGGGCUGCAUUGAUUACAUUAAUAGAAGCUGUGGAAAGUUGAAAGGUAACUUUGAUAUAUCCUUCACAAAUAUGCUCAUUUUGUUCCUUUGCUAAAUAAACAAAAAAAAUUACUUUGUUAACAGUGAUGCUACCAAAUCCACACGUAGUUUCUUCAACAGAGUAAAUUAGAUUCUUUGCCAUUUCAUUUGAAUAAUAUUUUUUCAAGAAAUAAGUAGUCUUCAAUGCUUAAUGGUCUGAAAAAAGAGUUUUUGAUGAAGCAAAUGGUUGGGGAUAUGUGAUUUUGUAUGAUCUCAAAAACCACAUAAGCUUUUUGUUCAGUUAAAUAGCUCAAUCAAAAUGUAUAAGAACCUAGCAUAUUUUAUGGUGAAUGCCAGGCCUAUUUUGAAUAUUGUUUCAGAGAAACAGAAAGCAAUAAGGAAAAUGAUUCAGAAAAUCAAGGCCAGGAUGACGACGUGGAGCUUCCAAUAUUUGGGCUUCCUACCAUAGCUCUUGCUACUGAUAGCUUUUCUAUGGACAGCAAGCUAGUGGAAGGUGGUUUCGGAACUGUUCAUAAGGUAAAGUUGCAUCAUAUUAUUGAAGUUACCUAAUUACAGAGAAUUUAUCUUUAUUAUGGAAGCUUAUUCAAAAAUGAAGUUUUCCAGGGCACACUACCAAAUGGACAAGAAAUUGCUGUGAAGAGGCUUUCAAAGAGUUCUGGAAAAGGAUUGAACGAGUUUAAAAGUGAAGUAAAAUUGAUUGCCAAACUUCAGCAUUAGAAUCUCGUAAGGCUUCUUGGGUGCUGCAAUCAUGGAGAGGAAAGACUGUUUCUUUAUGAGUAAAUGCUUAACAGAAGCCUUGACUCAGUCAUUUUUGGUCUGAAUCAUUCAAAACCCUUCAAUUUAAUAUGGUUUAUAAUCAAGACAGAGUAGCAACCUUGUUGGACAUGUCAAUUUAAGCAGAUAUUAUUAUAAUCAAGUUUUUGUUGCUUAUUUUAAACUGAUAAAACCUAAAAGGGUUUCAAUUGUUGAAGGCAUGGAGAUGGAAAGAAGGCAUUCUUUUAGAACUUGUUGAAGAAUGCUUAGGAGAGUAAUCUAUCAGAAGAGAUACGAUGCAUCCAUAUUAGUCUUUUAUGUGUACAAUGGCAUCUUGAGGAUAAACCAGUGUGUCAUCUGUGAUUUUAAUGUUGGGAAGUUAAACUGAAUAGCCAAACCCCAUACAACCUGGUCUUUUGUUUCAGAAAAUUCCAUUGAAGAAGAUUUUUCAUCAAACAAGCAUGUAUCUUCUUUGACAAACGAAAUGAAAUGACUCUGACACUCAAUAAUUGACUAACUGUAUGAUUAACUCUUUCAUCUCCAAGCCAUUAUUAAAAUGCUAUUGGUCAGUAUGUUUUUGACCUUCUGCUUUGGUGCCCAUGGUUUAGGCCCCGUUUAGCUUAGUACUUGCAAGUGCCUACUUGUCGGUAAUGUUACAAGAUGACUUUGAUUUGAAUUAUGUGCAAUCUCAUCAGUUGUAAAUUGAUUUGAUUUCUUUGCUCCUGCACUUUUUCAGAUGUUUCAUUAAGGAAGAGUCAUUUAAUCAUCACGUCAUUACUAAAGUAAAAAUGAAUGAUAUUCUUUACUUAUUUGCAUUUGCUACGUAAUCUUAAUAGAAGGCUCGAAUGUAGCUUUUCACAAAAAAAGGAAGAAAGAAGGCUUGAAUGUAAUCAUUGAUGAUGUUAUUCAUGAUCUUGUUGACUGUCCUAUGUCAAGUUCUUUUGCCUUUAAUGUCAUAUAUGCACCAUAAAAAUAUUUACAGGCAUAAUAUCUUGUUGCCUUUCCUGGUUUUACAAGCUCAACAGGUUUACAUAAUUGAAACAGCUAAGCACUAACCUUUGCAACCAUUUACCUCUUGCCAAGAGCAGGAUAGUAAUACUGAUAAUAAUGAUUGUAAACAAAUAUAAAAAUUACACUUUCUCAUUUUAAUUAGUUAUGGAUCAAGUGAAUGUACCAUUAACGAAUGGACUUUACGUCAAAUUUGUUAUUAUGUAAAAAUUUAUAGAAAAUAAUAAGUGUUACAUACAAUAUUGGUCAAGAUAUGUUAUGGCUAAUUCAAAACAGAAGUAUCAAACAUGCAGAGAAGAAAAGUAAAAGCAAUAAAAACAGAGGAACCUCAUUACUAUCGAUCAUCCAUUAACUGAAGAAAGAUACAUGAAUAUAUACAUGAGAUACAUGGUUAACACUUGUACAAAACAAUCAAGUGUUAAAUAUAAGAUUAAGAUAAGUAUGCAAUGCUUACACGUUCAAGGACAUGUAGCAGCAACAAAGACUCUGGCUUAUGAAACCAGUACAACGAAGCAAAAUGGACACUUGUCCAAAACUUAGUUAAACAGAAAAACAACACUCAAGCUAGUUUUAUCUCAACGCUAGUAAGUAGCAAAGUACAUACUAGGCGAUCCUUGCUUCACUUGACUUGGUGGCUGCACAUAGUAAUCUGACAUGACUAUUGAGUGGAAAACCAACCAAGGAACUAUGACAAUCAGGUUGCUUCAGUGGAAACCCCUGAUUCGAGCAUGGUGAAUGCUGAAGCUCCAUCAAACACUUAUAAAAUGGAGUAAAGUUAAGAGAUCAUAACCUAUUUCAUUCUGUGCAUAAGCAAACCUUUCUUAUCAGUAACAAGAAAUUAAGAGAAUUGCUUUCUUGAUUGAAAUAAUUGUCUUCUUAAGUUAUAAAUUUUUAUUGAUGUAGUAAGUCUAUUAAUGCAAAAUAAAAUUACUUUUCAAAAAAAUUGCAGAAUAUUUGAAAGGGCAUCUGUCAAAUUCAUAUUUGCAUCAUUUUCAAAAAAAAAAAUUCAUAUUUGCAUCAUUGCCAAACAGAAGACAAGAAGGACAAUAAUGGAGGAGUGCACGGUAGGACAAGUGGCCCCAUAAUUCAGUCCCACUUUGUCAGUUUUUCUUCGGUUCACAUUUGCGUUACUGUGAAACAACUUCAAGGAAAGUGAUUUUACAAUUUGUGCGACGACUUUCCAUUGACCUGCGAGCUUUUAAUUCUUUUUAACUUUAAUUCAUGUUUCUAUUUGUUUUCCUUUUCCAUUUUGCUUAAUUAGGUUGACAAUAUUUUAACUUUUUAAUUGAGUUGCCAGUUUAAUUCUUUUUUCUUUAUAUUAAACUGUUUAAUAUAGAUUUGGGUUCAUCUUUUCUGGAAUCUUAGAUUCGUCAUCUUUCCUCCACAUAAUUAUUUCCUUACACAGUUCAUCUGCUUGUUGCUGCUAUUUCUUGGUUGUGCUUGUUUCCCAAAUUUAAUAAAUACCUAAGGAUACUACUAUCAGCUCACAGUCUCCUUGAACUAGGUAAACUAUUUAUGCUUGUGUGAUUUACGUUUAUCUUUGGUAGCAAUAAUUAAUCAGAAUCUUAGCUUAUAACAUAAAUUAAUCUGUUUGUUGCUGUUUUCUUGACAAAUAUUGAAGGAGAUCUUCGUUUCAUGCUUUCACAAAUUUAAGACCCUCUAAAGAUGGGAGAAGUACUAGUUCAUCUGCCUCACUUGACCAGCUAAUUAAACUGUUUAAUCUAGAUUUGGGUUUAUAUUUUUUGGAAUCUUAGAUUCAUAGCAUAGAUUCAUCAUCUUUCCUUCCACAUACUUAUUUUGGUUCUUUAUUCUAUGCGCUGCUUCUAUUCUUUUAAUUAGGCAGAAAAUAAUUAUAGCAAGUGAAAAUUGAAAUGAACAAUUUUAAAAAUUUUAGCACAUCAAUUUUCAUUUUUAUUAGUUUUCCUUGUUAAUUUCAUGUCAGUUUGCUUCUUCUGUCUAAGAAGUUUGUGCUUAACAAGGAGCCAAGGAGGUUUGUGAAUCAUUUUAAUUGACUUUUGGGCUUCAUCUUUCCAAAUACUUCGAAGAAGAAACCAAGUUUUCUGAAUGUUAUUCUGCUUUCUGAUUUAUUCCAACAAUUAUUUCUUAAAUAUCUUUUUGAGAUAUUUUGUUACCAUCACAAGUUUUCUUAUUUUAGAUAUAUUGCAAGCUUGCUCUUGAAAAUUGGAAAUUCCCAAAAUCUUAUGUAGAAAGAUGCUAGUGAAAUUCCCUCUUGGCUUUUGUUUUCUCUAUCAAAAGAAAAAGUGACUUCUAAGUUUAAAUAGACUAUUUGUAUUAGCUUUAAUUUGUUUUAUAAUAAACCCCUAACGUAAUGAAAUAUUUUAAUAUAGAUCCAACGAUUUCUAAAUAAUUCAAAAAGGAAAUAUAAUUCAUGACCUUUUUACUUAAUUUUUUUAAAAUUGAAUUAUUCUCCAUUUAAAUAUAAAUUAUUCUCCAUUUUCAAUUCAGAGCAUCAAGAAUCGAAUUGAGACAGAGAAAGAAAUAUUAAUAAACAAGUUGGGCAUUUCAUCUUACUUUAGUUUCCUGCAGAGGACUCAUUGCAUUCACUUGCCUACCUUUACUAAUUCAUUCUCUUCUCAUAAAUUUUAUUCAUUGCAUUGCAUUCACUGAUUUUGCUCUUUUCUUCACAAAUUUUGGAAGGAGAUAUUACGAUCUUUCCUUCUUCCUCAAAUUUAACCAACACCUUCUCAAGAUAAAUCGGAGCAGAACCAACCCAUUACCCUACUUGUCCAGGUAAUCAAACUGUCUACUACUUUAUAUUAUGAUUUUUAAUCUUUUAAAUCAUAUGACGUUAUGACAUAAUUUCAUCACCUUUCAACAUAUAUAUACCUCAUAAUUAUUUUGGUUCUUUCUCUAUCACGCUUCUAUUCUCUUAAUCGGGUCGAAACUAAUCAUAGUGUCAAUAAGAAAUAGGAAUAAUUCCAAAAUCUUUACCAGAUACGGUUUUCCUCUUUUUGGUUUCAUGUCAGCUUUUUUCCACAAAAAAAAUGUGCUUAACAAGAAGCAAAGGGGAUUAAUUUCCGGUUCAUCGAUCUUUGACCUCUCUUCUUCGUCUUUUCACAUAAUUCGAAGAAGCAAAACUGGAUUUAUAUCUAUAUCAUGCACGGGUGAUGAUUUUAUUUACAAUAUUAUUUUUGAAUUUAGAAUAAAAAUGAUAACAUAAAAUAGAAUGCCAAAAAAAUUUAAGUUGCAAGUAUGCAUGUUUAGUGAAAGUGUCUUAAGUAUCUUGAUAAUAAGAAUAAUAAAUGAUUCUGAUGAAAAUUUAUUGCACUGAAUACAGUAGAACAAUUGAGUACAAAAAUAAAUUGAAUAAUUCAUCAAGGAGUUUGAAAUACAAAACUACUUGAUCAAUGAGGUCAAAAUACAUGUAUAGACCAAAUCAAAUAAUUCAAACAAGUCUAAAAGAAAGAAAAAAAUCAAAGUUUUGAUUACAUAGGAAUUUGCUUCAUUAUUUGUUCUGCUUAGUGAAAUCAACUAGAUCUUUGCUUCACUUGACUGGCUUAAGUAUCUAAUCCUUAUGAUUUUUCGUGACUGCCUCAUUGAACCAAGUAAAAUUGUCUAUGCUUAUGAUUUAUUUUUAUCUUUAGUAACAUUAAUUAAUUAAUCAGAAUCUUAACUUAAACAUAAAUUCAUCUUACCAUGACCUCCAUAUAAAUAUGAAAAACAAGUUGGGCAUUUAUUUUAGUUUCUACAUAAAUAUUGACCUUGCCCACUUUUCAAUAAUUCAUGUGCUUCAUAAUUCAUUUCCUUCUCAUAGAAAAUAAUUCAGAAGGAGAUCUGGUUGUUGCUAUUCUCUUCACAAAUUUUGAAAGAGAUCUUAGUUCCUGCUUUCACAAACUUAAUCUAAGGAUACAAGCACUAGCUCAUCCUCCACACUUUACCAGGUAAUCAAACUAUUUAAUAUAGAUUUGGGUUCAUAUUUUUUGCAAUCUUAGAUUCAUCAUCUUUCCAUCCACAUAAUUAUUUUGGUUCUUUUUUCUGUAUCAUACUCCUAUUUUCUUAAUUAGGUAGAAAAUAAUCAUAAUCAACAAGUGAAAACUGAUAACAAAUAAUUCUGAAGAUUUUAACAAUAAGAUUUUCACCUUUCUUAACACUACUAAUUUUCCUUUUUAAUUUUAUGCCAGUUUGUUUCUUCUGCUUAAGAAGUUUGUGCUUAACAACUAGCCAAGGAGAUUUGUGGACCAUUUUAAUUGACCUUUGGCCUUCAUCUUUCAAAAUAAUUUGAAGAAGAAAUCAGGUAUCUUGAAUGUCAAUCUACUCUCUCAAUUUAUUCUCACAAUUAUCACUUAAAUAUCAUUAGGAAUAUAUUCUUGUUUUCACAAGGAUACUUGUUUUAACUAUAUUAUGUUUAAAUUAUAUUAAUCCACAAUUAAAAUUUUUUAAGACUAUUAAAAAAUAUUAAUUAAUAUUUUCUUGCCUAUCAUUUACUAUUGGGACAAAACCCCAUUGACAAAUUUUUUUUUUGUUAUACUUAUAACAAGUGAAGCAAAUAUUUUAAUAUACUUUGGUUUUUUAAACUACAGGGAGCGUAUAUGGAGUUCAUAGGGUCAAUUCUUGAAGUGGUAAAGUGCUUUGGGGGUCCAACAUGUACAUACAUAGACUAUCAUCGAAAACUUGAAGAACAGAUGAAUCAUCUUCGAGAAAAAGUGAAUGUUUUAAAUAUUCGAAAGGGAGACCUCGUAUUAAGAAAGGAUGAGGAGCUUCGUCACAGAAGAGUGGUGAGGGAAGAAGUGGAGUACUGGUUUAAAGCUGUAGAAAAGGUAAACACUGAAAUGCAAGAGAUUGAAAUGAAGUUUCGUGCUGUUUCAUACUUCUUACGUGGUCGUUUUGGAAAAUUUGUUUGUCGAAAGAUUGAAGAAGUGAAGGAAAUUCACCAACAAGGUAGUUUCCCUGACGGUGUGGCUGUUGAUGGGCCUCCAGCCACCGGGGUGAUGUUACCAACACCAAACCUAGAAGGUGAGAUCGAUGUAAAAGAGCAAAUUUGGGAGUAUUUGAUGGAUGAUGAGGUUGGAAUGAUUGGAGUAUGUGGAAUGGGUGGCAUAGGGAAAACUACCAUCAUGAAGCAUAUCAAUAAUCAAUUGUUGGAGGAAAGUGAUCGAUUUGAUAAAGUGAUAUGGGUCACCGUAUCAAAAGAAAUGAAUAUUUCCAAAUUACGAAGAGAUAUUGCACAUUCUUUGAAACUAUCUAAUCAACUUUCAGAAGAUGAAUUGAAAGCAGUGUUAAAAGAUACUUUGGAGGGAAAGAGUUAUGUGUUAAUCUUAGAUGAUGUUUGGAAACAGUUUCCUCUAUUGGAUGUGGGAAUCUUUGAAUCAACAUUAGGCAUGGGAAAGAAAGUAGUGUUCACUAGCAGGUCCAGUGAGGUCUGUAAAUCUAUGGGUUGCAAGGUGGUGGUCAAUGUGCAACCACUUUCAAAAUUGGAGUCCAUGAACUUAUUCUUAUAUCAUGUGGGGCAAAGCGUUGUACAAGAUCAAAAUUUAAAAGACAUUGUCAACAAAAUUGUUGAGCAAUGUGGUGGUUUACCACUUAGUAUUGUGACAAUAGCCGGAAGCAUGAAAGGGGUAGAAGAUAUUUGUGAGUGGAAGAAUGUACUAAUUGAAUUAGAAGAGAGGGUGGAAAGUGUGAAAGAAUUGGAUAUCAAAGUAUAUGAGCCUUUGAAGUUCAGUUAUGACCAUUUGAGAGAUCCAAAAAUCCAAAAUUGUUUCUUAUAUUGCUCCCUAUAUCCUGAAGAUUAUAUAAUUAGAAAAGUGGAAUUAAUUGAAAAUUGGAUAGAUGAGGGACUCCUUGAUGGCUUACAGACCAAAGAAGCAAUGCAUCAUAGAGGUUAUAGCAUUUUAAAUAAGCUUGAAAGUAAUUGCCUAUUAGAGAGGGCUACAUUUCUUAUUGAUGAUGAUGGAGUUAAGAUGCAUGAUGUUUUGAGGGACAUGGCGUUGUAUAUUGCAGGUCAUCAGUUCAUGGGAAAAGUAGGUAUGCAAUUGAAAGAAUUCCCAAGUGAGCAAGAAUGGACAGUGAGUGUUGAGAAAGUUUCCUUGAUGCGAAAUUCAAUAUUAGAAAUUCCUUCUCACAUAUCACCUAGAUGGCCUCAUUUAUCAACUUUGAUAUUGCAACAAUGUGGCUUACAAAAGAUUUCAGAAUCUUUUUUUAAGCACAUGCCUGGGUUAAAAGUUCUAAAUCUUUCAUAUAAUUAUUCCUUAAAGUAUCUGCCUAAUUCGAUCUCAAACUUGAAAACUCUCAAUGCAUUGGUACUCUUUUGUUGUGAUAAGUUAAAAUAUGUGCCUUCCUUAGUAGAGCUCACAGCACUAAGAAAGUUGAACCUUUUGCGCACAGCAAUUAAAGAGGUUCCUCAUGGCAUAGAGAUGUUAGAAAACUUGAGAGAUCUUCGUAUGAUGUCAUGGGCUUUAAAAGAGCUACCAGUAGGAAUAUUACGGAGGAUUUGUCAUCUCCAAUGCUUAAUGCUAGCGGAUACGUUUGUAAAGGGAGAAGAAGUAGGCCAAUUGAGGAAGCUCGAGUGGGUUUCAUGUUCAUUUCGCAACGUGCAAGAGUUUAAUAAAUACGCAGAGUGUACGCAAGGUAAAUGGCCUACAUCUUUCACUUUUCAAGUGGGGGGAUCACCUAUGCGAUGGUAUAUUGGUUUUGGGCAAUCCCCAAAUUUCAAAAAAAUUGAGAAAUGGGUUAUAUUCGCAGAUUCGGAGAUAGAGAGGUGUGAUGAUAGGGUGGUCCCACAUGACCUUCAAACUUUAACUAUUGAGAAGUACGAUGAUUUCAAAUGUUUAAACAACAUUCCUUUGUUUCGUAAGGCGACUGACUGGAAGGAAUGUCAAAUUGGGGAGUGUGAAGGGAUGGAGUGUGUGGUUGACUUGUCAUUAUCGUCUUGUGACGCACUUGACAACAUUGAGGAGUUAC